UUUGUACUCCCUCCGUUUCAUAUUAAGUGACGAAAUAUUACAUGUAUCUAGACGUUUUUUGGUUAUAGUUACAUCCAUAUUUGGACAAAUUUCAGUCACUUAAUAUGAGACCGAGGAAGUAUAUA
rnacentral:pre_miRNA from 1 species